rnacentral:misc_RNA from 1 species
CAUGUUAAGAUUUAAGAAUAAGAAUAUGAAAGAAAAGGAAGAAAAGAGAGAACUGAAAAGGCUACAACUUUAAUUCUCAUUGAUUCUAUAAAAUAAAAGGUACACACACUAUGAAGCAUGGAAACGGCAUUGUCUAAAGUUUCUCCGUUCUGGAAACGUUUCCGACACAGAGACGGCGAGAUACGACAAAAAAACAUGUUGGGGCCAUAUCCGAAAAUUGUGAAAGGUGGAAACACGUUUCCUAACAGGAAAUGCAUUUCUUAAAUAAAAAUAAGAAGAAGAAGACAAAAGAAGAACUCGCGUCACAAACAAAAGUACUUUACAGGGAAGGAUGUCUUCAAAUGUGCCACUCAGGACCCAACUAGCAAUGCCAUUAGCAUCAAGAACUAAGCUUGAACGAGCUAUUGCAAUUCCUUUCCUCUUCCUCCCUCUCUCUUCCCUGUGUGUAUGUAUUUGCUUCACUGUAGAAGAAAAG